GUGUUGUAUGAAAGGAGAGAAAAUUAGCAGUCCCCUUGAUAAGGAUGAAAGGGGUCCCAGAGGCUUUAGAACACACAACUGGUUAAGGCAUUGCUCUCUACUUAAUGGCAUCUAACCAUUUAU